UGGGGAAUAUUGCACAAUGGGCGAAAGCCUGAUGCAGCGACGCCGCGUGAGGGAUGACGGCCUUCGGGUUGUAAACCUCUUUCAGUAGGGACGAAGCGCAAGUGACGGUACCUGCAGAAGAAGCACCUGCUAACUACGUGCCAGCAGCCGCGGUAAUACGUAGGGUGCGAGCGUUGUCCGGAAUUACUGGGCGUAAAGAGCUCGUAGGCGGUUUGUCACGUCGUCUGUGAAAUCCUAGGGCUUAACCCUGGACGUGCAGGCGAUACGGGCUGACUUGAGUACUACAGGAGAGACUGGAAUUUCUGGUGUAGCGGUGGAAUGCACAGAUAUCAGGAAGAAAACCGAUGGCGAAGGCAGGUCUCUGGGUAGUAACUGACGCUGAGGAGCGAAAGCAUGGGUAGCGAACAGG
rnacentral:rRNA from 1 species